CGCUGGCGGCGUGCCUAACACAUGCAAGUCAAAGUCUGAGUGACUUCGGUACAAGGACUUGGCGCAAGGGUGAGUAAGGCAUAGGUAAUCUGCCUUUGGUCUGGGAUAACCCCGAGAAAUCGGGAACAAUACCAGAUGAUGCAGCGGAACCGCAUGGUUAUGUUGUUAAAGAUUUAUCGCCAAAAAGAUGAGCCUAUGUUCCAUCAGGUAGUUGGUAGGGUAACGGCCUACCAAGCCUACGACGGAUAGCUGGUCUGAGAGGAUGAUCAGCCACAUUGGAACUGAGACACGGUCCAGACUCCUACGGGAGGCAGCAGUGAGGAAUAUUGCGCAAUGGGCGAAAGCCUGACGCAGCAACGCCGCGUGGAUGAUGAAGUUCUUCGGAAUGUAAAAUCCUUUUGCAGGGGACGAAUAGGUCGGCUUGCCGGCUGUGACGGUACCCUGCGAAUAAGCCACGGCUAACUCUGUGCCAGCCGCGGC
rnacentral:rRNA from 1 species